GAGAACAAAACCGGCUCUAAUUCUGUCGGACGAUGCUCUAAAUUCACGUGGAUGAAGCUUCUGUUCAACAUCAUAUUAAUCUUGACUCAACUCUGUACCGAUGUCAACGCUGACCAUCACACGUGAACACAGCCUCAACAUUCCUUGCCCUUAUAUGGCUAAAUCCCUGCUGUGGGCGGGCUCUGUUUGGGAGAACGGAGACCUCUGAUUGGCCGAAAGUAAAAUGGGACGGACACAUUUCUCAAGCUGAUGCUCUGGAGAAACUUUUGUGUCCCGAAAGUGUAGCAGACGGUCUUACUUUCCAGCACAGAGACACAGUCCAGUGGACAGCACAAUCCAUCAGCUGCAGCAGAGACCUGAAACACCGUCAUCAUGUCCAGCAAGCGUCC